GACGAACGCUGGCGGCGUGCUUAACACAUGCAAGUCGAACGGAAAGGCCCUGCUUGCAGGGUGCUCGAGUGGCGAACGGGUGAGUAACACGUGGGUGAUCUGCCCCUUACUUUGGGAUAAGCCUGGGAAACUGGGUCUAAUACUGGAUAGGUCCAUGCUGUAGGUGGUGUGGUGGAAAGAUUAGUUUCGGUAAGGGAUGAGCUCGCGGCCUAUCAGCUUGUUGGUGGGGUAAUGGUCUACUAAGGCGUCGACGGGUAGCCGGCCUGAGAGGGUGGAAGGCCACAUGGGGACGGAGAGACGGCUCAGACACCUACGGGAGGCAGCAGUGGGGAAUAGUGCGCAAUGGGCGCAAGCCGGAGGCGGCGACGCCGCGUGGGGGAUGACGGCCUUCGGGUUGUAAAAUCCUGACAGCCAUGACGAAGCCCUUGUGGUGACGGUAGUGGUAGAAGAAGCACCGGCUAACUACGUG
rnacentral:rRNA from 1 species